UUUAAAAAAGAUAUCAAUUGCUAUAAAUUCAUAGUGCUAUAGUAUGCUUUUAACAUAGAAAAAUGUGUACAGUGUAACUUUUUGAUAAUUAUGGGUUAUAAAAGUGUGAAUUAGUUUUUAGGUAUUUAAUAUUUUGUGAAGGCAUGAAAAUUUUAAAAAUUGUCGGAAUCACUUAAAAUGUGGUAGCAUUAAUGAAUUGUAUGCUGUUCAAGGGAAACUGUAGGUUAAGAGUGGGAUAAAUAUAUGAGGGUAAACUACCUUUGAGUUACACUUCAAGCUCACUUUCAAUUACUCUUGUAUAUUAGGUGCAAACUUUUACCUUUAAAUUGCAAAGACUGAUGGAAAUAUGUAGUAGAGUGUAUGUUUUGUGGUAAGAAAGAGGAAGGAGGUGAGAUUAACACUUAUCUAAUUGUCUUUCUUCCCUUUUUAGCAAUAUUUGUGUGAGUAGAAAGUGCAAACCCAUGAAAGAUGCUGUGCUGUGCAGACCAAAGCAGUCUAAAGCAAGAGUUUGGGCUCUGAACCACCGGAAAUGAUGUCACCUCUCCAUAUCCAUCAGUACUCAUCAAUGGUCUCCAAUAAUAGAACACAGCAACUUGGGUUUCCUGACUUUAUUGGAUCUCAGACUUCAUAUUUCCCCUCCCCCAAAUCAGAGAAGAAAAUGGCCUGAAAGCACAAAACAUGGAGUUGUAGUUCUACCACUGAAGAUAUGUGUAAUGUAUUAUGGCUUCAUCUAUAUGAUCCUCAGCUACUGGAUGAAGAUAAACACGCUUGGUAAUAAAUAAAAAUUCUUCGAGUAGACUAUUCCAAGAUUUCUUUUUUUUUACUUUUAUUAAUACGUGUUUGUAGUACAUAAUAAUUACAUUCAC
rnacentral:lncRNA from 1 species